UGGCAGUGUAACCUAAUCGAUAAGGUACCCAUCUCAUAAGUGGAAGUAUGCAGGUUUAAAUCCUGCCACUGCUAA
rnacentral:tRNA from 2 species